rnacentral:lncRNA from 1 species
CAGGAAAUUUGUAGGCGACAUGUGUUUUCCUGCCAAUAUCCAUCUUAGGAGAACCAGAAAACCCCAACUAGAAUCAAGAAGAAGAUAUAAACCCCUAGAAAUAGAUAAACAUGUGUUAAAUGAUGUGAAUGCAAAAUGAUGUGAUGCAAUGCAGUGACAUGGGAAUCAGGAUUGUUGUAUCUGCUUGAACAACUGUCAGGUUGCAUUGUCUGAAGAGAAACCCACUGAGGAAAAUACGAGAUCAAACCUUUGCUCCAGAAAACCGGGUUGAUUGAAG